rnacentral:rRNA from 1 species
CAUGUAGGCGGUUAGGUAAGUCUGAUGUGAAAUCCCGGGGGCUCAACCCCGGACGUGCAUUGGAUACUGCUAGACUAGAGUACAGGAGGGGUGAGCGGAAUUCCAGGUGUAGAGGUGAAAUUCGUAGAUAUCUGGAGGAACAACGGAGGCGAAGGCGGCUCACUGGACUGUAACUGACGCUGAGAUGCGAAAGUGUGGGGAGCGAACG